UGUUUAAAAUGACUCCCAGAUAAAGUGCUGAAGUGUUUUCUAGAGUUCUGAAUGCAAGAAGACAGUCAUGUGCCUUUUCUCCUGUCAGAUAAGCUUCUUCCAGGCAUGAAUUGAAGUGCUAUCCACUUGAGUUACAAUGUUAAAAAUCAGGAAUGGUGCAUCAGGAAGAGAGGAGAACACUUGCUGAGAUGUGUGUGAGGCUGCUGUGGGAAGAACAAAAAUUAACAUCUAUAGUAAUUGCUGAUGCUUCAGAGAAGUUGGGAAAGCAGCUCAAUGUAUGGAGCCAUGAAUAUCACCCCACAGGAGACAAGAUCCGAAGCAAGGUUGAGCUGACUCGAUACCUGGGCCCUGCGUGUGAUCUUACCCUCUUUGACUUCAGACAAGGCAUCUUGUGCUAUCCAGUUCCCAAGACUCAUCCCUCAGUUAUCCCCAGCAAAAAGAAAAAGAAACCUUCUAAAUCAGCCAAGGCUAAGAAACAGCAGGUUGGGCCACAGAGGAGUGAGGUCAGGAAAGAGACUCCACGGGAUGCCAUUAAGGCUGCUACUGGCACAGCUCCAUCUUCAUUACCUGCACCUGGGUUCUGUGAGAAUUGUGGAAUCCGCUUCUCAUGGGAUGGCAUCAGAAGGAAGAGGCUCAAGACAUUGUGCAAAGACUGCCGAGCACAGAGAAUUGCCUUCAACCGAGAACAGAGAAUGUUUAAGCGAGUUGGCUGUGGAGAGUGCACAGCCUGCCUGGUGAAAGAAGACUGUGGCGAAUGUCCCACUUGCCGCCUACAGCUGCCUGACGACGUGGCCUCAGGGCUCUUCUGCAAGUGUGAGCGGAGACGCUGCCUACGGAUUGUGGAGAAGAGCCGAGGGUGUGGAAUGUGUCGGGGUUGUCAGACCCAAGAGGACUGUGGCCAUUGCCGAGUCUGUCUUCGCCCUCCCCGCUCUGGUCUCAAGCGCCAGUGGAGGUGUGUGCAGCGGCGCUGUUUUUGGCACCUUGCUCAUCGCUUCCGAGGCCACCCUCACGGAUGUCAGCUGUGCCCUCCCCGGGUUGUGGUUUCCCCUGCUGGUAAGCGGGAUCGGAAAAAGAAAAGCUCAAAGGUAGCCACCCAGCAUCACUCCCGAGCUCGAGCUCAGCCACUGCCUCCGCUUCCUGCAUCCCAGCACCCAGAGCGCACAGAGCUGCACUUCAGCGACGUAGCGCCCACAUCACCUGCUGAGUUCAUCUAUUACUGUGUAGACGAGGACGAGCUACAGCCCGACACGAACCACCGGCAGAACCGCAAGUGCGGGGCCUGUGCAGCCUGCCUACGGCGGAUGGACUGUGGCCACUGCGACUUCUGCUGUGACAAGCCCAAAUUCGGGGGCAGCAACCAGAAGCGCCAGAAGUGUCGAUGGCGCCAGUGCCUGCAGUUUGCCAUGAAGCGGCUGCUGCCCAGUACUAGGUCAGAGUCUGAGGAGAGAGCAGGAUCGCCUCCACACUAUCGUUGUCGAAAGAGGCCUCGUUCUGCUGGACAGCGUCAUCUGAGACCUUCGUUGAAGGCACCUUUGGCUGUGUGCACAAGCCCAGCAGGCCCUGUCAGCAAGCAGAGGAAGCAGAAAGCAGGCAGAGGCUUUGUGCUGCCUCCACCUGACACAGACCUUGUGUUUUUACGAGAGGGAACCAGCAGUCCUGUGCAGGUGCCGGGCCCUGCUACGGCUUCCUCAGAAGCCCCAUUACAGGAGGCCCAGUGCUCUGCUUCCAGUUGGGUUAUGGCCUUACCCCAGGUGAAACAAGAGAAGGCGGAUGCUGCAGAGGAGUGGACAGCCGACACAACCUUCCUGCCUUCUUCCACGGUGCAGCCUGGCUUCUCCAGGAAGGUGAUAGAUGCAGACCUUCCACCUGUGAAACAAGAGCCUCCUGGCCCUGAAGUGGCUAGACAAGAGAACAGAGAAGAUUAUGUCUCUGAAUCAUCCCCAGCGGAGGAAAUAGGCGGGGUUGGCACACCAGUGAUCACGGAGAUUUUCAGCCUGGGUGGAACCCGCCUCCGGGAUGCAGCAGCUUGGUUGCCAAGGUCCAAGGACCUUAAAAAACCUGAAGCUAAAAUGCAGUAGACUGGAGCCUUCUGCUGACUGACUGUAGGACUGAACUUGAUGUUUGCAGACCGGCUUUAUGAGAAACAACCCUGAACUUCAGGGGCUGGGCCCCUGGUUGCAGAGCUUGUGUGUGAAUCAACCCUAGGAGAAAAACCUACAAGCACAAUCAAGGAUCAGGCCUGCUCAGUCCUUGAAGCUUAGAGGAAGCAAGCUGGAAAGGAAGAAAAAAAGUAGAAGGCUGGUAGAACAUCUGCUCCUCCAAGGAUCUCAUUGCAAUGAGAAGUUGGAUGUAGGGGUAGGGGAAGGAGAUAGCUGAAGCCACUACAAACAAGUCAAGCAAGCCAUCUUCAUGAUGUCUGUUGGUGGCUUCUGGAUGAGACCUGGCAGUAUGUUUGAACAUUUUCUCAGGGAAACAGCAGUUGGAAUGCUACAUGAGUAAAGGAGGAAAAGGAACUGCUAUUUGGUGAGCUCCUCCUGUGGAGCCGACUCACUUAGCCCUCACAGUAGUCCGUAGGAAUACAGUGAUAUUGUGCACUUUUGCAGGUGGGUAAGUAGAUUCAGAAAAGAUGAACUUCCCCAGUGUCACACAACUAGUGUUGGUGGAGUCUAGAAAUAGACCCAAGCUAUGAAAGCUGUGUUCCCGAAGCUACUAGACUGUUAGCUGUAGUCUCCUGUGCAAUAAUGUAAAUUACAGUAACAGUUUUAGUGACUUUGCAGAGAGCACUGGAUCACUAUGAACACUAAGAUAUCCCUCACGUGUUUGCCUCUGUGGUGGUUUAGGGAAUGCCCAGGGUGUAGGGAGACAGGGUCACCCGACAGCCUUGGCUGCUGCAGAGGUUUCCUCAGUCCCUGAAGUGUGCUCUUCCCCACUGCAGGCUGACAAUGUGCUUGUGCCCAGAAGCUCCCACUUCAGGCAGAACAGUGCUUGGAACUAAAGCUGUCAGCUUGGCUCCUCUUCUCCUGGCAGCAGUCUUCUCUCUGAUGACCUUUGUGCUUGUUUCCUGCCGUCAGCGCAAAUGUUUGUUAGGAGGCUGAAUGAAUCUAUGCACUGUGUCCUGCACCAGGGCCAGUCUUGGCUCAGCCGUACCUCACUUUCCAUCUUUAAAAUGCCAAAAACGAUACAUGCUUUUGUUAGGUAGCCAGCUUUUCAGGGCCAGGACUGAGUGUCCUGUGUGUCCCAGCUUGCUUUAGCCUAGUCCCAGCCCCGCUGCUUUAGGACCUUCAAAUGUGGACUACUCAUUUUUUAUUUUUCAAGUCACAAGACACAGCUCUCUGCCACCUUCUACUCUUCCUUUGCCUUUCUUUGCCUAGUUCUGUCCAGGAAUCGUAUUGCUUUUUAACCCCUAGAACGUACCACUUGUCUCUAGUAUUCUGGUCAUUCUGACAGUGAUGUUCCAAGGGAAAUGUCUUUGGUUGACAUUUGACUUGUGAAUGAAGAUUCUGGUUAUUAUGUGUAUUUGAGUAGGGAACAAUCAAAAGAUUAGAACCACUACAACAAAGAAUAGUGUGUGUGUGUUAAGGGAGUUUGGGAAGACAUUUUAUAUGAUGUAAUUUUUGGGAGACAAUUUAGCAGCCUUUAAGACUGUUACUUGUAUGUAAUGCUGGAAGUUAAAGUAUUCAGGACAGGCAGUCAGAAGGGAAGGUGGAUGGACACAUGGGAGCUCGUGACCAAGAGUUGGACUUCAAGAAGAUGGCCUGGAACCCAUGUCAGUGUCCCACUGCCUCCAGUUCCAAUGAUGUUUGUAUCCUGCAGAAGAAGCUAGUGUCCUUCCUCAGAGUCAAGUAGCAUCUGGCCUAGGACUAGAGAAGCUGAGGAAGAUCCCAGGGAAGUCGUAGCAGCUGAAGGCCUGGCUGUAGGACUUGCUGCUUCCCCGUGCGAAGGCUACAUAAACUGUUAGCAGUAAAUGAAAAUGAGUGUUUUACUGAACUGCAGUUGAAAGAAGAAAUAUUGUAGGAGAAAAAACUAUUAUUAAGAGAAGAAAGACAUUCUUUUGUGACUGAAAAGCUGAACCUGGAAUUGAGGAAAUGGAAUCCAAAUCUAGAAAUGUAUUGUAUAGAAAAUCUAAAGUGGGUGGGUUACAAAUAAUUAAGCAUGCUAAUUGGAAGAAAACCGACUUUAAGAGGGUAUACACAUGAGCUGCACUUAGGAUCAUGAGCUGCGCUUAGAGUCGGUCAGCGACCAGCCUUGUCCCCCCCAUUCUGUUUUUCUCUCCCUCCACAUAACAGGGCCACCAAAGUAGCAUUCAUAACUGACUCCUAAACACUGUAACUCCGUGUUGGUACUAAUGGGAACGUCCACUCUGGUUUCCGUGUGUGCUGAAGACCAUCUAGUUUCCUGGACUGUGCUCCCCUUUUGGCCUAGGAUCCUGGUUCUCAAGAAUUUAGCAGAGGACCUCGGAUCUGCAGCCCUGAUGUACUCUGACUGCGCCAUACUUUAUCAUUUCCAACCCAGUCAGAUAACUGUCUCACCAGUAUGUCUAAUCUGCCUUCUUCCUAUGUUAACCCAAAGUGUAAGCCCUGGCCUUCGUUGAGUGCGGUAGGAAGAUUUUGUUCACAGACAUUACUGGUUGUGUGGCUUGAUACAGCACUUCGGUUCCUUGAGCCAUGAUCUAUUUCACUGUAAAAUACACCUAAUGAUACCUUCAGUUCCUUCAA